rnacentral:rRNA from 1 species
UACGGAGGGUGCGAGCGUUAAUCGGAAUAACUGGGCGUAAAGGGCACGCAGGCGGUCUUUUAAGUGAGAUGUGAAAUCCCCGGGCUCAACCUGGGAAUAGCAUUUGAGACUGGGAGACUAGAGUACUUUAGGGAGGGGUAGAAUUCCACGUGUAGCGGUGAAAUGCGUAGAGAUGUGGAGGAAGACCAAAGGCGAAGGCAGCCCCUUGGGAAUGUACUGACGCUCAUGUGCGAAAGCGUGGGGAGCAAACAGG